GCCUCAUUGGCUCAGUGACGGAGCGUCUGUCUAAUAAACAGAAAAUCUCUGGUUUGAUUCCAACAUGAGGCA
rfam:Angiostrongylus cantonensis strain Taiwan genome assembly, scaffold: ACAC_contig0004621